UACGGAGGGUGCAAGCGUUAUCCGGGUUCACUGGGUUUAAAGGGUGCGUAGGCGGGCAGGUAAGUCAGUGGUGAAAUCCUUGAGCUUAACUCGAGAACUGCCAUUGAUACUAUCUGUCUUGAAUAUUGUGGAGGUAAGCGGAAUAUGUCAUGUAGCGGUGAAAUGCUUAGAUAUGACAUAGAACACCUAUUGCGAAAGGCAGCUUACUACGCAUAUAUUUGACGCUGAGGCACGAAAAGCGUUGGGGAUCAAACGG
rnacentral:rRNA from 1 species